rnacentral:rRNA from 1 species
GAUGAACGCUGGCGGCGUGCCUAAUACAUGCAAGUCGAGCGAACGGACGAGAAGCUUGCUUCUCUGAUGUUAGCGGCGGACGGGUGAGUAACACGUGGAUAACCUACCUAUAAGACUGGGAUAACUUCGGGAAACCGUAGCUAAUACCGGAUAAUAUUUUGAACCGCAUGGUGCAAAAGUGAAAGACGGUCUUGGUGUCACUUAUAGAUGGAUCCGCGCUGCAUUAGCUAGUUGGUAAGGUAACGGCUUACCAAGGCAACGAUGCAUAGCCGACCUGAGAGGGUGAUCGGCCACACUGGAACUGAGACACGGUCCAGACUCCUACGGGAGGCCGCAGUAGGGAAUCUUCCGCAAUGGGCGAAAGCCUGACGGAGCAACGCCGCGUGAGUGAUGAAGGUCUUCGGAUCGUAAAACUCUGUUAUUAGGGAAGAACAUAUGUGUAAGUAACUGUGCACAUCUUGACGGUACCUAAUCAGAAAGCCACGGCUAACUACGUG